GCAGCCGUGGCCUACUGGUUAGUGCUUCGGCCUUGUAACCGAAGGGUUGCCGGUUCGAACCAGACCAGUAGGA
rnacentral:tRNA from 1 species